UUAAACUUAAUACCACUCAGGCUGAACUUGGUGGGUGGGAAAAAUCUCACCAGUGAACUCUGUGACACCGAAAUGUGUAGGAUUAACAGCUCUGAGAUCCUGCAUCUAUUUGCAGGACUGGCACGGUUCGCACCGUGGUCUUGGCAGCCUUCGCGUAUCCCGGCACCUUGUUCUGUAGAGACACCUUUCUGGGUGGGAGGACGAUGUUAAACGCCUGGCUGCCUGCCAGCUAUCGUUGAAACGCACGCAAAUUGCAGUGUAGCUGCAAAAUUGAGAUCGCCCACUCCUAGCAGUCUGUGCCAUCGGCUGUCUGGCAGGAUUGAUGGUUGUCACUACCGAACGCUGCUGAACAAAAAAAAAAAAAAAAAAAAAAAAAAAAACUCCCCGUGAGCCUUUUUGAAAAAAAAAAAAAAAAAAAAAAAAAAAGAAAGAAAGAAAAAAAGAAAGAAAGAAAAGAAAAGAAAGAAACUUAAGAACUUUUUUUUCAGCUUAGAAAUGAAAGAGCUCUGUUUCCUGUAGACUUGUUCAGCUGGUAAGAAGUGUUGGGGCUAGGAAACAUACCUGACACAUGCAAAAUUGGAAGGUCACAAGUUUUUAGCCGUCUCUCCUUGGUGCCAUUUUGGGGUGGAGUAGACUUUGACAGGGAAGAUGCAGUAGCUCUUUCCACGAAGAUCAGGACUGAACUACUUAGACUAAUUCCAUUAAGAUCUCGUCUCUGCUAGAAGAACGGUGGAACGUGGCCGUGACUUACCCAUGUGAUGGAUGGGAUGUCGCCUUGCAGCAUCUCACCCUGCCGACCCAGCUGGGAAGUGCUUUGGCUCUGUACCGAAAGCUGCUGCGAGCAACUGGAGGCGGGGUGGAUGCGUUUCCUGCGUGAGGUCGGCUCACCUCAAAUCAGGCACCGUGUGGGUGUUAAGGGGGCCGAAGUGCUGUGGAUCAGGGUCUAGAUCGUCAAACUGCAAAACUCCUCGCCAGCCCUCACCGUUUCUCCCAUUGUUGAAACUGAGGCCAGAACGACCCAGAAACCAAAUUGAGGCUGCUACCGAAGAAAGAAAUUAUAGACCAUAUAGCCAGCCUUAACUCUCCCCCCUCCCUACUCUAUUGUCUUUAAAGUUAAAUUUUAAUAAGAAGUUUCUUCAAUUUACCUAGGGACCUAGAGUCCCUAAGAGAUUUAUUUUGAACUUUACCAUAUAUAUGUUAGCAUUUCGUUGAAUGAUUAUUUCUUUUGUAAGAAUGCUGAGAAGUUCAAUGCGUAGUGUAAACAAUGAAUAAAAGACAGCCCCUGCUCCA
rnacentral:lncRNA from 1 species